rnacentral:rRNA from 1 species
GGUCAUAGUGAUCCGGUGGUUCUGAAUGGAAGGGCCAUCGCUCAACGGAUAAAAGGUACUCCGGGGAUAACAGGCUGAUACCGCCCAAGAGUUCAUAUCGACGGCGGUGUUUGGCACCUCGAUGUCGGCUCAUCACAUCCUGGGGCUGAAGUAGGUCCCAAGGGUAUGGCUGUUCGCCAUUUAAAGUGGUACGCGAGCUGGGUUUAGAACGUCGUGAGACAGUUCGGUCCCUAUCUGCCGUGGGCGCUGGAGAAUUGAGGGGGGCUGCUCCUAGUACGAGAGGACCGGAGUGGACGCAUCACUGGUGUUCGGGUUGUCAUGCCAAUGGCACUGCCCGGUAGCUAAAUGCGGAAGAGAUAAGUGCUGAAAGCAUCUAAGCACGAAACUUGCCCCG